UGCACCACCACUUCAUAGUACCUCAAACGGGCAAGUGGAACGCUUUCAUAGCACCCUUUCAGAGAUAGCUAGGUGUCUGAAACUUGAAAGAAGUAUAAAUGAUACAGAUGACUUAAUUUUACUAGCGACUAUAGAAUAUAACAGAUCCAUUCACACAAUAACGAACAAAAAACCAAUUGAGAUUCUAUAUGCCGGAUCAGUGGAAUAUUCAGAAUCAAUUCGAAACCGCAUAGAAAAAGCACAAAUUGCUGAUCGAGAAUACCAUAACAAAAAUCGUCAGUGUAAAACAUACAACGCCGGUGACAGGGUCCUUGUAAAGGUUAAUAAAAGACUUGGAAAUAAGCUUUCAGCACUAUACGUGGAAGAAAUAAUUGAAAAGGACCUAGGCACCACCGUACUUAUAAAGGGGAGGAGGGUCCACAAGGACAAUCUUCGACCACCUUGACAAAACCUACCUACAAAUUAAUUCCCACCUUUUACUUACAGGUUGAUAGCACUGACGCUUUUCUCGACAACCAACUCGAUGGAGAAACUUAUGGACUACACUAACGCCGACUACAUCCCAAUCCUGGACGGGGACAUGAUACUAUGGGAACAUUACGGAUAUCUGACUCACUUUACUAAUAUAUCACUUCACAUAUGAGAAAGCUACUAGACGCGGACAUAGCACACAUCGAAACACUAUUACGAACCGUCGACAUUCACCAUCGACAAGCACGAAGCCUGAACUUUUUAGGUACGACACUGAAGGUAAUCGCUGGUACCCCCGACUUCGACGACCACCAAAGGCUACAAAUGAGACAGGAUAUUCUCGUUGAUU
rnacentral:lncRNA from 1 species